GGUAGUUCCAACUGGCGAAUCGUCGAAUCUGUCUCCGGUUCCAACAACAGCUCUUGUCAUAAACAUCAAGCGCUAUUCCUUCGAGAAAACGAGAGGAUGCAGGGCUACAAAGAGUCCAUCAGCAUUGAGUCAGCGGGAUAAAUGAAGAGCCAAGUUUGCACCGCCAUCUCCCGGCUUAGUCUCAGCAGAUAAGGAAACCACGGCUCCAAGAUGCACUGGAACUGAGAGGGCCAAGGUUUGACUCCUGAAGUCUUGGCUUCCUGACCCAGCCUCUCUUUCAUAAAUUUCAGAAGCUCCUUGAGAGGAAAUACAAGGAGAGGUCUUUGACAAAACCACUGAAUAGUACUACACUAUGGCUUUUCAAUAAGACAGGAAUCUAUGAAUGAAGAUACUUUGGGCACAAUUGCACAUGAUAGUGCUUCAGAGGACUUAGUGAUUCGCUGAUCCCCAGUCUUACAACCACAAGUAACUGAAUUCUCCAAUAACCAGUAAGCUUGGAAGAGGACCCUGAGAUCACAGCCCUGGCCAAUACCUUGAAUUCAGCCAGCUUGGUGAGACCUUGAACAGAGGAUCCAACUAACUUGUACCUUGACUCCUGAUUCACAUAAGUUAUGAGAUAAAAAAUUUGUGUUAAGUCACAAAGUUUGUGGUAAUUUCUUACACAACAGAAAACUAACAUUGCAUCUUUAAAAUAUUGAGACUUCUAAUACAUGACCAUGGUAUAUCUUUCCACUUAUUUAUAUCUUCUGUUUAUUUAUUUCAAAAAUAUUUUUCAC